CCUACGGGCGGCAGCAGUGGGGAAUAUUGGGCAAUGGGCGCAAGCCUGACCCAGCAACGCCGCGUGAAGGAAGAAGGCUUUCGGGUUGUAAACUUCUUUUCUCAGGGACGAAGCAAGUGACGGUACCUGAGGAAUAAGCCACGACUAACUACGGGCCAGCAGCCGCGGUAUUACGUAGGUGGCAAGCGUUAGCCGGAUUUACUGGGUGGAAAGGGCGUGUAGGCGGGGACGCAAGUCAGAUGUGAAAGCCAUGGGCUCAACCUGUGGCCUGCAUUUGAUACUGUGUUUCUUGAGUUCUGGAGAGGCAGACGGAAUGCCUAUUGUAGCGGUGAAAUGCGUAGAUAUUAGGAGGAACACCAGUGGCGAAGGCGGUCUGCUGGACAGCAACUGACGCUGAGGCGCGAAAGCGUGGGGAGCAAACAGGAUUAGAUACCCCUGUAGUC
rnacentral:rRNA from 1 species